AGAAGGGAAGAAGGAAGGAAGGAAGGAAGGAAGGAAGGAAGGAAGUCAUUUGGGCUUACAAUUGAGGUUACAGUCUAUCAUGAUAACCAAGUCAGGACUGCAAGAGUGUGAGACAGAUGGCUGGUCACAUUGCAUCCACAGUUAAGAAACAGAUAAACUGAACCCUGCUACUCACUUUCUCCUUCCAUCCCAGUCCAUGCAGUGGUGUUGCUCACAUUCAGGGAGCCUGUAGGUGAGGUUUGGAAGACACUACUUGCCUGCUGCCUGGACUGGACCAUCAUAAACCAACUUGUGCUUGUGUUGAUUAAGGCAAAAACCAUUGACAAGGGACCAGGAAAGCCCUCAGUUUUAAGGAGAUAAAGAGCUGAAAGUUAAAAAAACCAACAGUGUCAGUGAGGUACGGCUUCUGCUUUUUCUGGACACAGUGAUUGACCUGGAGGAGCAAGGAUAAUAGGUAAAUCUCUCCUG